GGGGAUGUAGCUCAGUUAGUAGAGUGCUUGUUUCAUAUGCACAAGGCCCUGGGUUCAAUCCCCAGCGCUACCA
rnacentral:tRNA from 1 species